rnacentral:rRNA from 1 species
CCUACGGGAGGCAGCAGUGAGGAAUAUUGGUCAAUGGGCGAAAGCCUGAACCAGCCAAGUCGCGUGAGGGAAGACGGUCCUAUGGAUUGUAAACCUCUUUUGCCGGGGAGCAAAAAGCGGUACGCGUACCGCAUCGAGAGUACCCGGAGAAAAAGCAUCGGCUAACUCCGUGCCAGCAGCCGCGGUAAAACGGAGGAUGCGAGCGUUCUCCGGAUUUAUUGGGUUUAAAGGGUGCGCAGGCGGCGUUUUAAGUCAGCGGUGAAAUUUUUGGGCGCAACCCCGGAAAGGCGGUUGAAACUGGCGGGCUAGAGUGGGCGAGAAGUAGGCGGAAUGCGUGGUGUAGCGGUGAAAUGCAUAGAUAUCACGCAGAACUCCGAUUGCGAAGGCAGCAGACCGGCGCCCAACUGACGCUCAGGCACGAAAGCGUGGGUAUCGAACAGGAUUAGAUACCCCUGUAGUC